UAUGAGCAUUAGACUCAUAAAGUUUGCUAAACAGUACUCUCAGCCUUUUUAAAAUGAAGUUCUACAUAUUCGCUCUUUUGAUUCUGGUUGCAGUUGCUACUGCACUUCCAGUCGAAGAAACCUUGCAAAAUAAAGCCUCUGAUCUAGAGGCAGGUGAAACAUAUGGAUGGACAUGUUCGAUCGGUGGUGAUAACCUUUGUAAUACGGUAUGCAAACAAGAGGGAAGAAAAGGAGGAAAAUGCAAAAGUGGUACUUGCGUGUGCCAUGGAUAAAACAUAGAGAAGCUGGCUAAAACUGAUUAAAUCAGUAACGAUUUUUUCAGAAGACU